GACAGAGGGUGCAAACGUUGUUCGGAAUUACUGGGCGUAAAGGGCUCGUAGGCGGCCAACUAAGUCAGACGUGAAAUCCCUCGGCUUAACCGGGGAACUGCGUCUGAUACUGGAUGGCUUGAGAUUGGGAGAGGGAUGCGGAAUUCCAGGUGUAGCGGUGAAAUGCGUAGAUAUCUGGAGGAACACCGGUGGCGAAGGCGGCAUCCUGGACCAACACUGACGCUGAGGGAGCGAAAGCCAGGGGAGCAAACGGG
rnacentral:rRNA from 1 species